rnacentral:rRNA from 1 species
GACGAACGCUGGCGGCGUGGAUUAGGCAUGCAAGUCGAACGGUAUAAACCUUUCGGGGUUUAGAGAGUGGCGAACGGGUGAGUAACACGUAGGUAAUCUACCCUCAAAACGGGGACAACCCAGGGAAACUUGGGCUAAUACCGGAUGCGUGCAAGCAAUGUUUUGGCUGUUAAUGCUAUUCACGGAAGUGAGUAGUGUUAAUGGUUGAGAGCAUUAUUUGCAUAAAAGGUGGCAUAUGCUGCCGUUUGAGGAUGAGCCUGCGUCCUAUUAGUUAGUUGGUGAGGUAAUGGCUUACCAAGGCGAUGAUAGGUAGGCGGCCUUAACGGGUGGUCGCCCACACUGGGAUUGAGAGACGGCCCAGACUCCUACGGGAGGCAGCAGUCGAGAAUAGUCUACAAUGGACGGAAGUCUGAUAGUGCGACGCCGCGUGAACGAGAAUCCCUUCGGGGUGUAAAGUUCUUUUAUACGUGAGCAGUGCCCUUUAUAUGAAUAGUAUAGAGGGAGGAUUU